rnacentral:rRNA from 1 species
CAGAGGGUGCAAACGUUGCUCGGAAUCACUGGGCGUAAAGGGCGUGUAGGCGGGAAGGAAAGUCAGAUGUGAAAUCCCUGGGCUCAACCCAGGAACUGCAUUUGAAACUCCCUUUCUUGAGUGUCGGAGAGGAAAGUGGAAUUCCUGGUGUAGAGGUGAAAUUCGUAGAUAUCAGGAGGAACACCGGUGGCGAAGGCGGCUUUCUGGACGACAACUGACGCUGAGACGCGAAAGCGUGGGGAGCAAACAGGAUUAGAUACCCUGGUAGUCCACGCUGUAAACGAUGAACACUAGGUGUCGUGGGUAUUGACCCCCGCGGUGCCGCAGCUAACGCAUUAAGUGUUCCGCCUGGGAAGUACGGUCGCAAGACUA